AGGCGCUCCACAAUACCGGCAGACAAGGAGAACUCCCAGUUGGUAUACCCUCAUUAUCAAGUGCUUCUCCAUACCCUCACCCACGCCAAGAGGAUUACACCAGAGGUGCCAGUGGCUUGUGAGUCAUAGAGCGCAGAUAGGCAGAGCAGCCUGCAAAGAGAGAGGGAG